rnacentral:rRNA from 1 species
GAUGAACGCUAGCGACAGGCUUAACACAUGCAAGUCGAGGGGCAGCGAGGGCGUAGCAAUACGCCUGUCGGCGACCGGCGCACUGGUGAGUAACACGUAUGCGACCUGCCCCCUACAGGGGUAUAACCCGUAGAAAUGCGGACUAAUCCCCCAUAGUCCUGGAGGCUGCAUGGCUUUCAGGGGAAAGGUCAGCCGGUAGGGGAUGGGCAUGCGGCGCAUUAGCUAGUUGGCGGGGCAACGGCCCACCAAGGCGACGAUGCGUAGGGGUCCUGAGAGGAAGGUCCCCCACACUGGUACUGAGACACGGACCAGACUCCUACGGGAGGCAGCAGUGAGGAAUAUUGGUCAAUGGGCGAGAGCCUGAACCAGCCAAGUAGCGUGCAGGAUGACGGCCCUAUGGGUUGUAAACUGCUUUAUAAGGGAAUAAAGUGAGAGUCGUGACUCUUUUUGCAUGUACCUUAUGAAUAAGGACCGGCUAAUUCCGUGCCAGCAGCCG